GGGUUAGGCUGGGCAUCGGUCAGCGAGUGCAUAUAAGCUGUAUCCAGGUUCAAGGCCUGAGAAGGACCAAAGGAAAACUUUUGGGGCAUGAGCUGAAAUUGCAGAGGAACUGAGAAAUGGAAGUCACAAAAAAAUGAGAGAUGAACCCUGGGAGGCACUGGAAGAAGGAAUAAGGCAAUAAUACUAGGAGUAAAAAUGCAAACAUUACAUUCACAAGAAAUUCCUGGACAUCACAACCAGUACUGGUCUCAAAAUGACUCCUCAGUUACUGCAAUCAAAACCCCUGAACUAGCUCAAGCUCCAGGAAUUCUACAGAGAACUCAAACUAAACAGAUACUGGCCCAAUGGAAACAGGCAUCUUCCCAAAAGGUGAUAAUGGAUAGGCACCAGAUGGCUGAUCGAGGACAAAACAGAUUUGGUGUGUGCCAAAGAGGGAAAGCCAGAGAGAGAAAGAGAGAGAGAGAGAGGCAUCAAAGGAAAACAGCAAGAGCAGCAGUAGCUAGUGUGUUUGUAAUCUAAUUAUCACAACACAGUAGAGAGCAGUUCCAUGCACUGGAUUCAGUUAAAACUUUUGUGCCAUGCUCAUUAAUACACACGAAUAAAGCAAAUGAAGUAUAAGUUCUGGUUUAGCUCUGCUAAAGUAAUUAUUAGUAAUUAUUGAGCACCAUAUGGGCACAACUAGGUGAAAUUGAAAGGCUUAUGAAGGGCAAGAGGUCAGGCAGGCGAACUUGCCCUUCACUACCCAAAAACCCAGUCUGCAAAACCCAGCCCCUCCAGGGGGCGCAGCAUUAGCUUUCCUCACCCAGCAGCUCUGGAGAUGGGUGUUCUACACCAGGUUUCCACUGUGCAGGUGGCACCAAACAGCAGGAGUCCACAGCUCCUGUCUGUCCUCCAGGCUGUGCUGGGCAGCUGGAGCCCUCCAAGGAAGGGCCAUGGGCCCCACAAAGAUUAGACCAUAUGGGAGUAGUGAAGGUGAAUGGAGACCCCAAAAUCCCAUUGACUUGCCUUUGCUCAGAGCUCCCUGAAACCUUAGGAUCUGUGGAGCUGCCACUGCAGACCUGAAUUCAGUGUCCUCGGGGCUGCAAAACUCAGCACAGACAGUGUUGAAAGUGUCAGCCCCAACAAGCCACUGUUCUGCAAGGUUCUCUCCUCCUGGAAACAUCAUUUUUGCUCAGCCCACAUCUCCAAAUGGACAGCCAGUGCUUCCACAGGAAUGCAGCAAAAUGCAAGGUGAGGGUGUCAUUCCCUGGCUGGUGCUGCCUUACAGGUAGAACAAGCCAGAUAUGGAGGUGGUGGAAAACAGGUUGUAGGAGCUCCAGAGACACAUAGCGGAGACAGGUUUCCAUGGUGGCAUGUAACCCAACACACAACUAAGAAGAGAAGCAGAAAGCACCCCAGUGACUCUGCCCUGGUGGCAGCAACAGCAGGCCCCACAGAACCUUCUAGAAGGAGAAAGCCAUGUCAGGGCUUCUGUGUAGCCUGGUGGGGCUGCAGGCACCCAGGAGAUCAGGACCAUGCUGAUGGGAGGCCACCAAGGACAUGGGAGCAGCCACAAAGCCAGCCCUUAAGAGAGGGGGUUGUCCCCAGGGCACUAGGAGGCUGGACAGCAGUCACUGUCACCUGGGAAGCUGGUCCUGGCUCCUGGACAGGGAACAUGAGGGCAUCGAGCCAUCUUCCCUCUGCUCCCCAUCACACAAACUCAGAACCUGUGGAGAAAUGUUUCCCUAUCUUUCCCAACACAGCUAUGUUUUUUAAAAGUUUGCUGUUCUGCAUUUUUCUCAGUUGCAUGGGUUUGUUUUAAAACAUAAGUUUGGAGUUGAAAAAGCUCCAUUGGGGUUUUCUUGCUUUCAGGAAAACAUGAGACUUAAGCUACCUCAGCACACUGCUUGACUGAAAUUUCAGCAGGAGAAAGAGGAAAUUAUCAGGGGACAGUGCAACACUGCUGUUACAACAAACCACACUGCUGCAAAUAUUACAAAUAUUAGAUUCCCUCUAAAUAUCCAACACAUAUAAUUCAGAAAAGGUAUAAAAACUGUGGGCUAACCUCGCUCCCACUGAAACUAUGUGUGAAUUUACUGGAUUCUGUGGCAUUUCUGCAAAGGCAAGUUAUCUCCAUUCCCACUUUAAAAGUUCAGGAAAGUUAUGCAAACUGAGGAUCUGCAGAGUUGGGGAAAAUUGGGAUUGUAAAUUUUCCAGACAAAACUACCUUAACAAUGUGUAUGUAUCACAGGCCUGCUCAUUUGAAUCAGUCAGUUUAAAGUCUAAGUAUCGUUAAACCUCACAACUGAAAGGUGCCAAAAUACAGAAUUUCCAGAGCUGUAAACAGUAAAUACCUGAAAUGUAGAGAGUAAAAAUGCAUGAAACUUCCAGUAGAGUGUGUUUUGCAUUAAUGUACACAAGUCAAAUGUUUUUUUGAACAAUAUAAGUAAAUAGAUGAAACAUCAGGAAUGAAGCAAUAUAAUCCAGUAAAGUAAAGCAUGCAUACCCUGAAGCAAAAGUGCUUUUAGUGUUCUUGUCAUGGCACAGCAUUUUGUUGUGAAUGUGUGUGUGGAAUGAGGUAGGGGACACUUGAAAUGAGGAGCAGGGCAAAAUCUUGAAAAAUCUUUCCAAAUAUUUCUGCUACUAAAGAAUGGGGCUCUUUUUAAGGUCACUAACCAUAUGCCAAAGUCACUUGAAAAAGUACUUCUUUUCCCUUACUUGGGUUUUCACUUUCCUCCCUGUUCAGAACACCAAGCUAUUCUCUUGCUUUUUCCUUCAUGCAAAAAUAAUACAGAUUGCAGACAAUGUAUUGCGUGCUCUUUUUACUGCCAUACUCAAAAAUAUCUUUUUAUUUUGGAAACACCUAUUUCUUUUUAUUCUCUUUUCCCCUAUUUAUGAGCUGAAGAAUCAUAGAAUGGCUUGGGUUGGAAGAGACCUUAAAAAUCAUCUACCUCCAAGCCCCCUGCUAUAGGCAGGGAUGCCACCCACUAGAUCACUCUGGCCAAGGCCCCAGAUAGCCUGGCCUUGAACACCUCCAGGAAUGGGGCAUCCACAGCUUCUGUGGGCAAUCUGUUCCAUUGCCUCACCACCAUGUGAGUGAAGAAUUUCCUCCUAACCUCUAAUCUAAAUCUCACCACUUUUGGUUUAAGAACAUUUGCCCUCGUCCUAUCAUUAUCUACUCAAGGAAAAAGUCUUUCUCCAUGCUUUUCAUUAGACCCCUUUAAGUAUUGAAAUAUUGUGGUGAGGUCUCCCCAGAGUCUUCUCUUCUCCAGGCUGAACAACCCCAGCUCUCUGAGCCUUCCUUCAUAGGAGAGAUGCUCCAGACCCCUGAUCAUCUUCGUGUCCCUCCUCUGAACCUGCUUUGACAGCUGCACAUCCUUCUUGUACUGGGGGCCCCAGCCCAGGAUACAGCACUCCCGGUGGG